rnacentral:rRNA from 1 species
UUCUAUAGCCAUGUUUCCCUGAACAAACCUGAUCUCGUCAGAAGCUAAGCAGGGCCGGGCCUGGUUAGUAUUUGGAUGGGAGACCACCUAGGAAGACCAGGUGCUGUUAGGU